CCGAGGUCCGCGACCUUCCACUUUUGCAAGCGGAAUUUUGACUAGGAUAGUUGGUUUCUAGCUACGCCCGACGUAGUCACCUUCCACUUGAAAGAAAAUAAGAAAUUACUUUGCAAACCUUCCAUGCAAGUCACCAAAGUCUCCAAUUAAACGAGCUAAAAACUUAUUUUUAUCAUUAUUAUUCAUGACAGCGAUGUUCAUUUUGUUCAACCGCUAGCUUUAUACAGAAAAUCACCGACAAAUAUUGUAUAAAUUCGAGUAAAAUCGUAUCUGAUUGACAAAAACAACAUUGUAAACACAUAACAAUGGCGGCCGUGAAGACAAAAUUUUACAAUAUCGGAUCCAAUUCCGGAAGCGGAUAAGGAUAAUUCCGGGUUUGGCGACCAAUUACAAAAUAAAUCAAAGCAGAUGAAAAAAUAAAUCUAUGCAUGGUAAAUGAAUAUAAAC
rnacentral:lncRNA from 1 species